AAAGCCCAACUUUUCUCACGGCGGUCGAAAUAAACUCUUCGCAUCUCACUGGCGUUACAUCAAACAGUUGAAGGACAAAAGAUCGAUCCUCAGAAUUUCUCAGUGCCCAGUUUCUUCGAUCCCUCGACACGAUCUUUGAACUCUUUUUUAAACCUCCCAAGGAUCAGCAAUGGCGAUCUUGUAUAGUAUUCUACUGCACGUCUCGACUCUGCUUCACUCACCUGUAGUUUUAACAAUUGGGAGUGAGAGGAGAGAAUUCAUACUCUCAUCAUCUUGACUCUUAUGUAAGGAAAUUUCUUCUGCACUUUUAAACAGGAUGCUGGGUGGCAUCCUGCUUAUUCGCUGCUCUGUUAACUUUCUAUACCCUUGCCUUCUUUGAGAAGUUGAACGUAGACAGCAAUGCCUCAAUGAGCAGGGUCUGUUCAUGCCCGUUCUCCUUUUAGGUGUUUUGAUGAAACUCUCACUUUCAGAAACACAGCAACAAGGACAUUAUUGCUUCUGCACAAUGCACAAGCUUUCUUUCUGCAAUCCUUAAGAGAUAUGGGUGCAAGUGCGGGUAUGGACACAGACAUGGGUGCAGAUACCGGACACAACAAAUAUGUAAAAGAUAACAAUGACACCUCCAAUGAAGUUUGGAUAUGGUUGCCUUGGAGAGCCCUAGUUGUAUUUGUGGCUAACUCAUCUCUGCAGCAAAAGGGGAUAAGGGAACCAAGAUAGACCCCCUGACCAUAAUUGUCUGGAACGUGGAACGCUAUAGUCAACCACGAGCAGGAUUCAAUCGUACUGGAUUCACAGUGGCAUAACGGGGCGUACCGGAUUCCCAGUGGCAUACAGACCCGUUCACCAACUCUAGCGACCCGAUUUAGAUUUAAAUCAAGUUAAAAUUUUGAAAAGAAUAACUCUUUUUCAAUAGAAUAAACAACAAAAAAGUGAUUCUCAAUGUUCUUUUACCAUUUCUGAUAUCAACUAGCAUACUCCUUAAAUUUGACUCUUGCGAACGAACCUUUGAUUCCUGCAUUUAAGGUCCAAACCUAAAACAUACCACGUUCCUUAGCAUAUUGUGCAAGCCUACCCCCUUUACCUGAUUCCUAAUGAGUGUCGUACCACGCUCCCGUUCCCGUCAUGUGAACUGGAAUGAACUUGGUUCCAUCCAACUAAGCCCCUGGCUGAACUCUGUUGACUUUUUUAGCCUCAUAGGAAGAGAAAAUUAUCUUUUGACAAAGAGACCGCUUGAGGGUAGAAGAGUCAAAAGAAAUUCAGAGGUUUCUGCAAUUGGGCGAUAGUACAAUGGUCUAUCCACAGUUAACCUUAUUCCUGAUUAUGACUGUAGUGAGUAUGCCAUGGAGGAGUUGAGCAAUUAAGUUGGUUAGCUCAAGCAAUCUAGAGGAGUGGCUUGUGAUGAUGGCAUACUCAAGCAAUUGAGUAGGCCAUUCAAAUCGGGUACUUCCUGUGAUUCCAGCCAAGAUCCCCACUUUUGAUAUUUGCUUUUAGAAGAUUUGUGGCUCUCACAUUAAAAGAAAAUGAUAUAGGGUAUUUUUUGCUAUAUAACUUGAAUGUUAACACUCUUUUUGAUUGAUCUCAUUACUAUGUAUUGAGGUGACAAGAUUAAGAGAGAAUGACUGAUCUAGGAUGCUGAAUUUCAUCGCAUUGUUCAUCGCAAGAAGCCAUAGUAGUCUAUUUCACGAUCUAAUUAGGUUGCUGUCAUCUUCUAACUAUUCUGUUCAAAUGAAUUCAAAAGUAUGCAGAUUCUUCAUCACCCUUACGCUUCAAGUCUUGCUCUUCUUAUUGUGUUGGAUUCAUAUGACAUUUUGAGAAAUUGGUGGUGGUUGAACUUGCACAUGUCACGCUAGUUUCCAAAGGACGAAGCCAAUGGGAGGAGAGAAUCAGAGAGGAGUAAUGACGGAGCACGUAUCAAGUUGGAAAAACGUAAUCAGCGAAGGGAUCUUAUCUCAAGUAAUAUUUUCAAUUAAGUCCGUCCGCAUCCAAUCAAAUAUGGGUGUUUCUUGUGAGGCUUCAGAUAACUCUGAACGGUGUGGUGACGGGGAUCCUACUACGAAUUGGGGAUGAGGACUUUGUUGCUUGCUUGCGUGUGGGGCAAGAGUUGGGCGAGCAUCUCAUUUAAAAUCAUUAAGGAAAUGAAAAUUCCGUGCACACGUUUUUGAUUUGUACAGUACACGUACCUGAAAAGACCUUUGAAGCCUAGAGUUAUUUGAGCUGAUAUAGAGCACAUGUAAAAAGUACAUCACCGUGUGAUGCCAAUUUUAUGUUUACCGCCGUUGUUGUCGGAUAAAAGUUCGGGUUGGCUUCACAAAACCCUCGUGAAAUA